UCCAGCCCAAACUCCUUGAUCAGUCGAGCAGUUCAUGCAGCACUCCACUCUCCAAAGGAGAGAAGGUGACAUUACAGCUCCCAGACUGGCAGAAUUAACACCAGGAACAUUUCAUUCCAUGAAUCUUCCUCAGUGCGCUCCUUCUCCUGACAAAGCGACUUAGUAGUCAAAAUCCUGUCCCCUGAUAGAACUUGAAAAGGAGGAAUGAAGUGACCUGGUGAAGACUGUGGUAACUACUGGGCUGCUGAAUGGAGAUGAAUUUUGUCAACUUGCAUUCUGUGCCUUCGACUGUUUGAGCUCUUGGGCCCUGUGACU